UAGGCUCAGCUGGCCACGCCUCACAGCUUCACCACCAUCCUUAGCCAUCACCCUCAUCUCAAAGAGAUGGAGACAGGCCCAGCUAGGACUCCUAAUCCUAAGUCAGUACACCCUCCCCCUGUCUGUGUGAGGAAGGGCAGAGGCGCUCAGACCCCUACACCCCACACACACAAUGGCCGAGGGGCCCCUGUGAGCCGCUGAACCCAGGCCGCUUGCCCUGAGCCCGUGAGUCAACGCUCGGAGCAGGUGGCAGCCCCGGUGCCGCCCGGUGUCUGCUAGGUGCUGCCAUGGCCACCAGGCUGGCCGCAUGGGCAGGGCAGCAUGUGCCUUCCCUGGGCCAGGAGGUGAUUAAUGACCAUGCGGCGAGGAUGAGCAGGCUGAGAUGGCAGCUCAGGAGUUACCGGAACCUGAUUAUAACCCUGACUUUGCCGACGUAACAAGCUGUGAGACAUCAGCAGUGUGUCUGUGUGAGUCCCAGGACCAGUUUUAUCAAAACAAUCAUUACUAAUGAAACCAGACUCAGAGAAGGGGAAGAUGUCUCACUCCAAGGGCUGCUGUGAGGAUGAAGGCAGAUGACACAUGUCAGGAACCACGUCUAAUGUCCAAAAAAGAGGACAUGCUCCCCAAAUCGCAGCUUCACCCACAAUGCUGCUCUCUCAGCUCCUCUCCCGGACCUUCUUCAGUGACCUGCACUGUCUCGGGACCGGCCCUGGGGGUCUGAUCAGGCGUGCCCACCUGGACGAGGCGCUUGACUCUCCCCAGCAUCGCUUAUCCCUGUGUGAGCAGCCUGAGCCUCGGGCAGGAGUGUACAGAAAACAAGCUCGACACCGGAUUCCACAUCCUGGGCCCUCUGAAAAAGACGUCCAUCCUGAAAUAGUUCAUUUAUACAAGAGAACAGAGCGGAAAGUCUUAAUACGGUAACGUGGACGCCCAGGUCCUGCUGCCCACGGAAGGACUAAGACGUGCCAGGACCAAUCACACCUCCCAGCGCCCCCUGCACCCAGCUCCCCUCCACGCCGCCCACUGGGAACCAGGGCCUCACCUUUCUCUCCAUCUCCCUGAGCUUCUCCUGCUCUGUGGUCUUACAGCCACACGGGAUGUUAAGAGGGAGUGUUCAUUAUAUUGAUGCUAGUCUCCUGUAACAAACCGGACAGCUUCUUCCUUGGAAUAAUUUUAUUUAUUUAUAUUUUUCGCUGCCCUGGGCUUUCGUCGCUGUGAGGGCUUUCUCUAGUUGCC
ensembl:lncRNA